CACCUGUGACCUAAUAAAAUGGCGGUCACUUGUUUAUGAGCCAUCUCCCUUCAGCUUUUUUAGCCGACCUGUUUACCUCCAACUUUGUAUCAGCAGCAGCGAGUCAUAGACCGAGACCAGCAGGAACAACAAUCCCACCACAACUUCUCCAGAAAUCACCUCGUCUGGUUUCAUUGAGUUAUUUUAUUUCCACACAGAACAGGCUGGAUGUUAUCAGCACACAGAAAUCACAUGAACUUGUGCAUUAAAACAUGUUAGUGGAUUAUCCACCAAUGAAUGAGGAGAUUUUGGACGUGUUAACAGACGACAGAUUAGGCCUGGGUCUGUAAUAUUGUUAGCAAACACAGAAUAUUAACCAGGAACAGCUCAUUCAUUUCCAUCAUUUAAUUUGGCUAAUACAAACCACACCUCAUCUCCUAAUGCACUGAGCUUUCCUCAUCUCUGACUCUAACAGACUGCUGGGUCCAUGGUGUUGCUCCCCCUGCUGAGAAGGUGCAAACAGCUGCCUUCUUUGCGUCACAUACAUCAGUCUGUCCACUGUCAUUCUUUCCAUGACUUUCCCUGGAUGAGAUGUUAGAGCUGUAGGCCUAUAACCUGUGGUCUUAGUGGGGUCUUUCCCUGGUUUCACAGUUCUUCCCAGCUUCCUGAUAUAUUCUAUUAUAGAAGAGCAGCAGAGCAUCCUCUAACUGCUUCAUCAUGAUGUAAUACACCUGAUCCUUCCCAGGUGAAGUCCUUUUUAUGCAUUUAAGAGCUGCUUUGAAUUCAAACAUUACAAACUGAACAUUAGAACUAUCCUCCUCUCCAGGAUUUUCCUGAUUUAACAUUUCAAUAUGAUUCAUUUUUGUUCUCUCACAUCUGCUGUUAUCACUUCAAUUAUUCCCACUGUGGAUUUGAUCAAACUGUUUGCCCAGCAUCUCUACAUUUUCCCAUCCACACUACCUGUAGCUCAUUAAUACUAUUAAUAUUGGAAACUGCUGUUGAAGCCUGAUGGUGACACUUUAUGGUGAAGAAGUUAAUUGCAGUAACAGAACUGGCUGGCUUAUGAUACACUGGACAUUUCCAUCAGUGCGUUUAUGAAGCCACUGUCAUGUAAAAAAAAGUGUCUGACAUUCAAAAAUCCUACCAGAGGCUCGACAAAGCUGAACUGAAAGACAGCACGGGCAAUAAAUCAGAGCAGCACAGAACUUAAGCACACGGUCCAUAGAAGCUGGGGUCUACAGGUGUACCAGGACAAGCUUAGUGGU